rnacentral:lncRNA from 10 species
GGUUUUGUAUCCUACAACUUUACUGAAUUUGUUUAUCAGUUCUAAUAGGUUUUUUGUGGAGUCUUUAGGUUUUUCCAAAUACAAGAUCAUAUCAUCUGCAAACAAGGAUAAUUUGACUACUUCCAUUCCAAAUUGCAUGCCCUUUAUUUCUCCUGUCUGAUUUCUCUAGCUAGAACUUUCAGUACUAUGUUGAAUAACAGUGGUGAAAGUGGGCCUCCUUGCCAUUAGCAUUUUUUCUGAUUUUAUUUUCAUUUGUAAUAAAGUGUUAUUAUUAGUAGUAGUAGUAGACUUAAAAUAGGCAUGGUUAGGAUUGGUUGACUUUCACUUUCAGUUUCCAGCCUCUGUUAUGGUCUCAUUUAGUAGUAUGUCAGAUGCAUUUGCAGUAAAUAGACUUCUCACUUUAACUUGUAGUUAAGUCUGGAAGAUAACCGGCAAUCACCCUCUCUCUCCUUGUGUUCUACUAACACAAGGAAUGAAUUCUUGUGUUCAUUCUUAUUAAAAAAAAUAAUGAGACAGUUUAAGCAAGGGGCCAAGUGAUAUAGAUUUAUUUUUGAAAUUCUAUAAUUGCUCUUUGAAGGGCAAACUACAGGAUGGGAGAAAAUUUUUUGCAAGCUAUUCAUCUGACGAAGGUAUAAUAUCCAGCCUCUAAAGGGAACUUAAACAAAUUUAUAAGAAAAAAAAUCCCAUUAAAAAAUGGGCAAAGGACAUGAACUGACAUUUUUUAAAAGAAGACAUACAUGUAGCUAACAAGCAUGUGAAAAAAAGCUCAACAUCACUAGUCAUUAGAGAAAUGCAAAUCAAAACCACAAUGAGAUACCAUCUCACACCAGUCCAAAUAGCAAAUAGCUAUUAUUAAAAGGUCAGAAAAUAAUAGGUACUGGCAAGGUUGCAGAGAAAAAGGAAUGCUUAUAACACUGUUGGUGGGAAUGUAAAUUUAUUCAACCAUUGUGGAAAACAGUGUGGCAAUUCCUCAAAGAGCUAAAAAUAGAGCUACCAUUUUACCCAGGAAUCCCAUUACUGGGUAUAUACCCAAAGGAAUAUAAAUCAUUCUGUCAUAAAGACGCAUGCACACAUAUGUUCAUUGCAGCACUAUUCACAACAGCAAAGACAUGUAAUCAACCUAAAUACCCAUCAAUGGUAGACUGGAAAAAGAAAAUGUGGUAUAUAUGCACCAUAGAAUACAAUGCAACCAUAAAAAAGAACAAGAUCAUGUUCUUUGCAGGGAUAUGUAUGGAACUGGAGAACAUUAUCCUUAGCAAACUAACACAGGAACAGAAAACCAAAUACUGCAUGUUCUCACUUACAAGUGGGAGCUAAAUUAUGAGAACACAUGGACACAUAGAGGGGAACAGCAGAUACUGGGACCUAUCAGAGGGUGGAGGGUAGGAUGAAGGAGAGAAUUAGGAAAAAUAACUAAUAGAUACUAGGUUUAAUCCCUGGGUGAUGAAAUCUGUACAACAAACCCUUAUGACACAAGUUUACCUAUAUUACAAACCUGCACAUGUACCUCUGAACUUAAAAUAAACUUAAAAAAAAAAAGAAUUACUAAGCAUGCUUUCCUGGGUCAGGUUUUCUAGAGACAUACCCUGAAACAAGGAUUUACAUGCAAGUAAUUUAUUAAAGAAAUACUUCUAGGAUGAACUAGUAAAGGAGUGGAAAAAUAGGAUAUGGAAGAGGAAAAAAAUUAAGUGUAGUAGAUGCUGUUAGUGGCUGUAUCACUCAGGGUUCUUCAACAGGAACAGAACCAACAGGGUGUGGUGUGUGUGUGUGUGUAUAUGUGUGUGUGUGUGUGUGUGUGUGUGUGUGUGUGUGUGUGUGUGUGUAUACACAAAGAGUGAGAGAGGGAUUAGUUUUAAGGAA